rnacentral:rRNA from 1 species
UGAAUACGAGACGCUAAGGCGUCGAAGUAGUGUAUGUCAUACUUCCAAGAAAAGCUUGCACUGUCAUAGAUAAAAAACGCCUGUACCAUAACCGACACAGGUGGGUAGGUAGAGUAUACUAAGGGGCGCGAGAUAACUCUCUCUAAGGAACUCGGCAAAAUAACUCCGUAACUUCGGGAGAAGGAGUGCCUUAUUCUUAAGGUUGCAAUAACAAGAUCCAAGCAACUGUUUAUCAAAAACACAGGUCUCCGCUAAGUCGUAAGACGAUGUAUGGGGGCUGACGCCUGCCCAGUGCCAGAAGGUUAAAGAAGCUGGUUAGCAAUUGUGAAGCUGGUGACUGAAGCCCUGGUGAACGGCGGCCGUAACAAUAACGGUCCUAAGGUAGCGAAAUUCCUUGUCGGGUAAGUUCCGACCCGCACGAAAGGCGUAAUGAUUUGGAUACUGUCUCGGAGAGGGGCUCGGUGAAAUAGACUUGUCUGUGAAGAUGCGGACUACCUGCACCAGGACAGAAAGACCCUAUGAAGCUUUACUGUAACUUGAAAUUGAAAUUGGACUUUAUUCGCGCAGCAUAGGUGGGAGGCGUUGAUUAUAAUCUUGCGGGAUUAUUGGAGCCAUUAGUGAGAUACCACUCUUGUAAUGUUAGAUUUCUAACUUUGAAUCAUUAUCUGGUCAAAGGACAGUUUCAGGCGGGCAGUUUGACUGGGGCGGUCGCCUCCCAAACGGUAACGGAGGCGUACAAAGGUUUCCUCUGAACGGUUAGAAAUCGUAUCUAGAGUGUAAAGGCAUAAGGAAGCUUGACUGUGAGACCUACAAGUCGAGCAGGGACGAAAGUCGGUCUUAGUGAUCUGACGGUACUGAGUGGAAAGGCCGUCACUCAACGGAUAAAAGUUACUCUAGGAUAACAGGCUGAUCUCCCCCAAGAGUUCACAUCGACGGGGAGGUUUGGCACCUCGAUGUCGGCUCAUCGCAUCCUGGGGCGGUAGUACGUCCCAAGGGUUGGGCUGUUCGCCCAUGAAAGCGGUACGCGAGCUGGGUUCAGAACGUCGUGAGACAGUUCGGUCCAUAUCCGGUGUAGGCGUUAGAAUAUUGAGAGGAGCCUUCUUUAGUACGAGAGGACCGAGAAGGACAUACCUCUGGUGUACCAGUUAUCGUGCCAACGGUAAACGCUGGGUAGCUAUGUAUGGAGUGGAUAACCGCUGAAAGCAUCUAAGUGGGAAGCCCACCUCAAGAUAAG